rnacentral:rRNA from 1 species
UACGUAGGGACCAAGCGUUGUUCGGAUUUACUGGGCGUAAAGGGCGCGUAGGCGGCGUGGUAAGUCACUUGUGAAAUCUCUGAGCUUAACUCAGAACGGUCAAGUGAUACUGCUGUGCUAGAGUGCAGAAGGGGCAAUCGGAAUUCUUGGUGUAGCGGUGAAAUGCGUAGAUAUCAAGAGGAACACCUGAGGUGAAGACGGGUUGCUGGGCUGACACUGACGCUGAUGCGCGAAAGCCAGGGGAGCAAACGGG